rnacentral:tRNA from 1 species
GGAGCUAUAGCUCAGUUGGUAGAGUGCUUGCCUAGCAUGCAUGGAACCUUGGGUUUGAACCCCAGCUCUG